CCCCCCACCCCCCCCCAGGGAGGGCGAGACCACCCUUCACUCUGACGCCUGAGCAGGGCAAUCGUAGGAGGUGGCGGUGGUGCUGUAGGCGAGUGGAGGCUACAUCCAGUCACCACCGGGGGGCGCUGUGUGAGAUACCUGAGGGUCAUGCAGGAGGGCAUUCUGGCACAGAGCUGUGAGGAAGAGGAGCGCGGUGCUGCCGAGUCUUCUUCAGUCGACAUGCCCCGCUUGAGCCGAGCCCCGCCGGACGUGAAGGAACGGGAUGUGUCGCCUCGUGCUGCUGACCUGGUGACCUUCGGCGUCCCCAGACCGCGAGCGGAGGGCGGACAGCCUGGGUUCUUCUCUCCGACCCCUGUCCCGAGGACCUGCUGUAUGAAUGUUCACUGGACUUGAUUUCCACAGUCACGGUCAAGCCGGUCCUUCCCCUCAUGGGUCGUUCACUGGAAAGGUCUGUCUCGACACUGGUUGGUGUGGCGGCCCGUUCUGUAUUUUACCGCAUGCUCGCUGUCUCGGCCCCUGUCCUGAGGAACUGCUGCACUGGACGAUGACUGCAGGGGCUGGUCGCUGCAUGGGGCGCCGGGGAUGGACAGAAUAACGGGCACACCUCACGAAGAAGGACGAUAUGUUUCGAAGUGUGUGAAUCGCACUUGGAAAGGACUCUCGUGUAUUCAUGUCAAUACUGUCUGCUGAUGUUUCUGCCCUAAAAAGACACGUUCAGAUCUGCAGCUGAGUAUGUGAGCGUUUGAAGCUGCGUGACGGACUUGACAGAUGUUGGAAGAGGUCAGGUACUCGGGACCCGGGAUCGCAGGGGUGGUCCGUCUCUCCGAAUCGCCGGCAGAACUACU
rnacentral:lncRNA from 1 species